rnacentral:lncRNA from 1 species
CCCAGCUGCACUUUGCUUUCUGUUUUAUCCUCGAGGCCUAUGUGUCAUUCUACAAUAAUGAGUGCUGACUAAUAAACUAUAUGAUAAUGAGUAAUUAUCACAGCCACGAGUCAUGAUUAAUAAACUGUAACCCACUGCAUAACGUAUCUACAUCUUAGCGGACUUUUAAGAUGGUUUGCUGUUCAAGAGGUGAUUGGCUCACAGGAGUUCCAGACCCCCUGCUUUACCAGCUAAUGAAUCUAGUGGGGCUGUGUCAGGGUCUCAGGUCUCAGGUGGGAGAGAGUACAUGACCAAAGUUAAGUCUGGUAGGCAGACAGAAAUCAAGGUGAGCAGAUAUCAGAGGCCAAACUAGACCCAGGGAAACAGUUAAGAAACACCUAAUCAGAGAAGAAAGGUCCAUGGUUAAAACUUCCAACAAAUAAAGGAGAGCCACAGAAACCUCAGGAAAGGGCAGUGAUGAGUAGGGGUGGACUCAAGACUCAGGAAGGUGGAUGUGACCCUCUGUCCCAGGCUCAAGGUUAUUUAACAGUCUCUACCCAAGUUCAGCUUUCCAGCUAGCCUGGACUUUUAAAGGGAAGCAGGCCACAGGGUUAGGGUCACGACACAGUAAAAUCCCAGUGGCACAAAAUGGACAGAGAGGUAGCGGGCCCAGCACUACUGUGCCAGACCACGGUCCUACUCUGCCAGCAACCCUGGGGUACCAAGCCCCACACCAGCAUAGACUAAGGGUACACAGCUUGGAAAAAUAAUCAUCCCGCAAUGUCAGUGUCCAUCCCUGACCCCCAACCCUCGUCUUCAGUAUAAGACAAGGGACUCAGUUUGGGUCAGGAAAGGCUUCUGCAUCAUGGCAGAGUACUCGAACUUGACUUUACCCAGUAGUGACUGCAGUAAGCAGCAAUGUCUCGUCCUCUCUCUCCACCCAAAGCUGCUGUGGAUAAACUCAGGUGUGAAUGAAGAAAUAGCCAAUGACAAGCUGAGUGCGGGUGGAGGUAAAUGCGCCUGGGCAAACUGCAAGGUGACAGAGUGGAAGACAGUGUCCAGAAGGUGCCAGCCUGUCUCUGUGAGCGUCUUUUAUAAUCUGCCUACUGGAAACUCCUCAACAGCAAGCAAAGUCACUUUUCUCCAGGCUGACCCACAGGGUGUUUCCAUCUUACAGAAUGUGGUUGGGGUUUUAGCUUUAUUUACCAUUAUCGUGUGUAUUNNNNNNNNNNGUGUGUGUGUGUGUGUGUGUGUGUGUGUGUGUGUGUGUGUAGGUCAGUCCAUUUUCUUCUUCCAAAUUUAUGUGGUUCCAAGAAUCAAACUCAGGUUGUGA